CCCUUUUGUUUAGAAAAACUGCCCUUUCCCCGUUCUGUGUGCCUCCCAGAGAGUGGCCAGUGGCAGGACCCUGCCUCUCCCCCAGUCCCUGUGGGCUGCCUGCAGAGAUGGACAAGUAACCCAGGCUGAGCUGAUCAGAUCUUGUCCCCUUGGAAUUUGACUUCUGAAUGAUGGCACGAGGAAGAGAAGGUAGGUGGAGUCACCUGACAGUAUUACCCUGAAAGAGAAAGUCCCUGGGUUCCUGUCCCCCGAGUCACUCUUCCUAUCCUUCCCAAUGCCUGCUUGUUCAAGUUUUCACUCACUGAGCUACCAGUGUUUUUCAAAUAAAUGCCCAUUUCUUGCUUAAGUGGGUCAGAGCCAGUUUCUGUGGCUUGCACCUAAAAAGGCUAACUCAUGUUUUCUGGUUUACACCUAUCAGGCCUCCUGUGAUUUCCUGGAUCCUCGAAUGGCCAGACGGUAACAGAGUGAGUCAUGGGUCUCCGAGAAGGACUCCGGAAUAUUGUCCCCUGGGUACACAGGCCACAAGGUGAUACAGAAGGCUGACAACUGGCACUCAGACCCAGGUGAAAGGUCAGAUGGGGCACUCCAAGAGACAGCUUCAAGGCUCUAUAAAGUCAUGAGACGGCUGCCGACACCUACAGAGCAGCAUCCCCUAGGUUCAAGUCCAGUGAGAAAGAGAACACCUCUCUUCCCAAAGUCCCAGGCUUCCUCUUGGACCAGUUCCCACCGAUGUCUGUGUGCAUCCCACCGUGUGUUUGCUGAACCUUAGGACCCAGUGCCACCCAUUCCAGAACAUUCUACCACCAGGAGUAGCUGGUACUUGGCUGGCUUUGGACUUCACGGAGGUGGGGUUAUUCAGAGUUUUUGAGGAGGGCCCCGUGCAGACUAAAAGCAAGAGACACCUUCCCGGACUUCUCUCUCCGAAAGAGGGGGUUAUUAGAAGUUUCUGGGUGUUAGGGAGAAAGAUGCCUAAGGAUUAGAAGCAUUUAUUCUCAGGUUCUCACCUGAGGGCUUUGCUCCGCCAAUGCACCUUGGCAGUUUCUUCCAGAUCAACAGUAAUGCCCUUUGUUUCAUGAUGACUUCAUUAUUGUAUCUCAGAGGCCAGGCUGGUCGGACUAUAUCUUCAGUGCUUUCCUUUCCAGCUCAACUAGUCAUUAAGA